UAGAUAAUUACAAUUAAAUAGCCUAACAG
rnacentral:sRNA from 1 species